rnacentral:rRNA from 1 species
AGAGUUUGAUCCUGGCUCAGAACGAACGCUGGCGGCGCGUCUUAAGCAUGCAAGUCGAACGGCAAGAUACCUUCGGGUAUCCUAGAGUGGCGGACUGGUGAGUAACGCGUGGAUGACGUACCCUCGUGACGGGGAUAGCCGGUAGAAAUACCUGGUAAUACCGGAUAAGGUCUCACGGAAUAAAGGCGUGAGAGGAAAGCAGCGUAUGCUGUGCAGGAGGAACGGUCUGCGGCCUAUCAGCUGGUUGGCAGGGUAAAGGCCUACCAAGGCGACGACGGGUAUCCGGCCUGAGAGGGUGGACGGACACAUUGGGACUGAGAUACGGCCCAGACUCCUACGGGAGGCAGCAGCUAAGAAUAUUCCGCAAUGGGGGGAACCCUGACGGAGCGACGCCGCGUGGACGAUGAAGGUCGGAAGAUUGUAAAGUCCUUUUAUACAUGAAGAAGAAGUUAUACAGGAAAUGGUAUGAUGGUGACGGUAGUGUAUGAAUAAGCACCGGCUAAUUACGUGCCAGCAGCCGCGGU